rnacentral:tRNA from 1 species
GCCGAGGUAGCUCAGUUGGUAGCAGCAGCAGUUUCGUAAACUGCAGGUCGCCCGUUCGAACCGGGUCCUCGGCU